rnacentral:misc_RNA from 1 species
AAGAGACGUUGCCCUUCGGGGUAUACCUCCCACCCUUUGUUUAUUAUACCUUUGUUGCUUUGGCGGGCCCGUCCUCGGACCACCGGCUUCUGCUGGUCAGUGCCCGCCAGAGGACCUAAAACUCUGUUUGUUAACAUUGUCUGAGUACUAUAUAAUAGUUA